GCAACAUGAAUUAACCGCUGAACAGAAUGGACUGUGUGCUGGGGCCGGAGCAUGUGCGGUCAUUUUCUCUACUUCCUGUGCCAAGAUAAUGUGCUUUUAUCAAAUGGAAGAGCUCAUGUACAGCUAAGCCCCACGUCUGCGUUGAUGGCCCCUUAAACACUGGUCAGAGUGCAAGGAUGCUCAGAGGAACACGAGGACCAAACCAACAUCAGCAGUCCAAGCUCCACGGUGAACUUAACUUAGCUCAGAAAUGACUGGUGGGAACAGGCGCAGGGAGUACGCCAAGGGAAGUCUUACUCCAAGUCACCUGUGUGCCACCAUUUCUCACCUCUCUGAGCUCCGUCAGGAAAGACACCACAUUCAAGUCCAGCCAAGCCCAUUAUCUUUUUUAUUAAGUGAAGCUCCAAAACAAGAUUAAUCCCUCUGAAUUUUAAGUUCCUACUCACGUUCACAUGAGGCUUUGGAUGCUCAAACCAGAUUCUAAACUUGAGUAAGAGCUGGCCUAGUGUCUCAGAUUUGAUGUAAAUGGCUGUGAAGAGCCUACGCUGAAGAUGCUGGUUCCCAAAAGCAGUCAUGAAUGACGUAUCUGGCGCAUGCUCCUGUGGGACACCUAAACAAAAUUUACUGUCCUUUCCAUCAAGAGUUACAUAAGAAAAUUUUAAAUAAAAGACUGAAGAAGUGCUUGGCAGAAAUUCUAAUUCCUCCAGGAUCAUGACUUCUUGAAAUCCAAAUGUGUGCUCAAGGUUGCAUACUCUGCUAACACAGAAAAAUGUGUUCUGCUUCUCAGUUGCAUCAGUUAGAUCAGCAGUCUUGCAAGGAUGUGAGCCGAAGCUCCAACCAGCCAGUCAAGGAGAAGCAUGGACUCCUUUGCAUUGGGAAUAAAGCCUAGCAGAACCCCACACAUGCAUACACACUGCACAUACUGGAUGCCUGUCCGCUUUGUUCAACAUGGCUAUGUACCCUUCUGAAAAAGUAAUAUUUUUGACCUUGAAAAAGAACUUGGGAUUGUGUGGUCAUUUGCUUAGACUCCAAUUUUCAGCCUUUACCACAAACCAGAGCUACUGUAAAAGCUUCUGUCUACAGGAAUCUUUGUGUGUCUGCAAAUACAGGUACAAAGAAUGGAAA